GAUGAACGCUGGCGGCGCGCCUAACACAUGCAAGUCGAACGAUUAAAGCACCUUCGGGUGUGUAUAAAGUGGCGAACGGCUGAGUAACACGUGGGCAACCUGCCCCUUUCAUUGGGAUAGCCACGGGAAACCGUGGAUAAUACCGAAUACUUCGAGACUUCCGCAUGGAAGACUCGAGAAAGCUCCGGCGGAGAGGGAUGGGCCCGCGGCCUGUUAGCUUGUUGGUGGGGUAACGGCCUACCAAGGCAAUGAUGGGUAGCUGGGUUGAGAGACCGACCAGCCAGAUUGGGACUGAGACACGGCCCAGACUCCUACGGGAGGCAGCAGUGGGGAAUCUUGCACAAUGGGCGAAAGCCUGAUGCAGCGACGCCGCGUGCGGGAUGAAGGCCUUCGGGUUGUAAACCGCUUUCAGCAGGGACGGGGCGAAAGUGACGGUACCCGCAGAAGAAGCCCCGGCUAACUACGUG
rnacentral:rRNA from 1 species